AAUUUUGGACAAUGGGCGCAAGCCUGAUCCAGCCAUGCCGCGUGAGUGAAGAAGGCCUUCGGGUUGUAAAGCUCUUUCGGCCGGGAAGAAAUCGUGGUCUCUAACAUAGGCCAUGGAUGACGGUACCGGACUAAGAAGCACCGGCUAUCUACGUGCCAGUAGCCGCGGUAAUACGCAGGGUGCGAGCGUUAAUCGGAAUUACUGGGCGUAAAGCGUGCGCAGGCGGUUUUGUAAGACAGAUGUGAAAUCCCCGGGCUUAACCUGGGAACUGCGUUUGUGACUGCAAGGCUAGAGUACGGCAGAGGGGGGUGGAAUUCCUGGUGUAGCAGUGAAAUGCGUAGAGAUCAGGAGGAACACCGAUGGCGAAGGCAGCCCCCUGGGCCUGUACUGACGCUCAUGCACGAAAGCGUGGGGAGCAAACAGG
rnacentral:rRNA from 1 species